rfam:Ailuropoda melanoleuca scaffold650_5, whole genome shotgun sequence.
GGAUGUGAGGAUGAUCCGGCUGCAACAUCUGUCACCCCACUGAUCCCACUGAUCGCCAGGGUUAAUUCGGCUGAGCUGGCUGACUAGGCAGUGUCCCCUUCCUCCCUCCCUCAUUACUCUGUGUGUACCCUCCUGAAGCUGCGGGCUCCGUGGAGGAAGACAAUGGAGGUCUCCGGACAGAGGAGGACCAUUCUUGGGUAAAGGGUAUACAAGUAGCUGCACUCCCCUGCUAGAAAAUCCAAACAAGCUCUCAAGGUCCAUUUGUAGAGGAACAUAAGGUAGUCAAGCUUUCAAGACUCCAGACGCAUCCAAAUGAGGCGCUGUAUGUGGCAGUCCGCCUUUCUUU